rnacentral:rRNA from 1 species
UAGGGGGCGAGCGUUAUCCGGAUUUACUGGGUGUAAAGGGAGCGUAGACGGCAAUAUAAGCCAGGAGUGAAACCCCGGGGCUCAACCCCGGGCAUGCUCUUGGAUCUGUAGAGCUAGAGAGCGGGAGGGGCAGGCGGAAUUCCUGGUGUAGCGGUGAAAUGCGUAGAUAUCAGGAGGAACACCGGCGGCGAAGGCGGCCUGCUGGACCGCGACUGACGUUGAGGCUCGAAAGCGUGGGGAGCGAA